rnacentral:rRNA from 1 species
GGAGGAAGGUGGGGAUGACGUCAAAUCAUCAUGGCCCUUACGGCCUGGGCUACACACGUGCUACAAUGGUCGGUACAAAGGGUUGCCAAGCCGCGAGGUGGAGCUAAUCCCAUAAAACCGAAUCGUAGUCCGGAUCGCAGUCUGCAACUCGACUGCGUGAAGUCGGAAUCGCUAGUAAUCGUGAAUCAGAAUGUCACGGUGAAUACGUUCCCGGGCCUU